rnacentral:lncRNA from 1 species
UUAGUCAUCACCACAAUAUUAUUAUUAGGGUUUUCUAUUAUCAUGUGCAAAUUUACACAUGAUAAAACUGAAUUACUGCAACCAAGAAAAUAACUUAAUUUUUACCACAAAAUAAUUAUGUGAGUUUAGUGGUAACAACUUAAUUAACCUUAUAAAUUUAUAAAUGAGUAUAAAAUGGUUUGUAUUUUAAAAUAUUUUUUUCUAAAAUGAGAAAAGUGGACAUACAGUCAAGCAUUUGCCGCAAGAAUCUCUGCCUGUUGGCCCAGCUGGUCCACAAAAGGCAGUCCAACCAUAUUUGCUACGCCAUGACAAGGGCUGGUUGGCAUCCCAGGUAGCACAGUAUACACUGGCAGUGUUGUAGUCCCAGUUAAUAUUCUGAGGGUUGUAAUUAUUGUAUGUUGCCCUUACGUUGUUUGCACUCUGACCACUCACUAACAUCGUUCCCACAAGGAAACACAAUACCAACAAGCUUAACUUUCUCUGUGUGUUUUCCAUUUUCUCAAUUUUUGUGUUUCAUUGUAGAGGUUUGUGUGCAAAUAUAUAGACUUGGAGAAAGAUAUACCACACACGACACGAGAUUAAUGUUUUGCACUUAAUUAAUCUCAAGUCCAACAAUGGAUUUGGACCGUUACCAUGCUUGACUUUAUUUUGCUUUGAAUUUUAUUUAGCGCGUGUGUUUCAUUUUGUUGAUUUUUCUUUGUCUAGUUUCCCCGUAAUAUUAAUCCAGAACAUUUUAUAUAGUCCUAGUUUGAUUUGUCUUCUUGAUCAUCCAUAUCUUUUUAGUAAUAUUGAUAGGAGUACAUCAAAUAUAGAACAAUGUAGAAAAUAUCUAAAUUGGGUGGUUCAACCGGUUUGAAUUAAAGAAAAAUGAGUUGAUGGUCCUAAAUUCAAAUUUAAAUUAAGGAGUAAAUAUUAAUUUAAUAAAUUAACUAUUAACAUUUGUCAUUAAAAAAAUAUCUAAAAUGCGGAUUAAUUAGGAAAGUCCUAAUAAUGGCAAUAUGAAUCAAAGAAAUCGUGAGUUCUCUCAUAGAAAUUAUUGUUAAUUAGGUUGCCUAGAAAGUUAACAAGAGAAAGAAAGUACAAGAGAAAGAAAGUACGUAAGUAAGAAAUCAUUAUAAAGUUAAUGGGAGUCUUACUGAAUUAUUCUCUUUACCGAGAAGAUUUAUUAUAGGGGGUUAUCUUUAUUCGUUUAUAUUUUUAUUAGAUGUUGAUGGUCUUAACUCUAUGAUGCAAUCAACAAGUGGUAUAGGCUUUCCCAUUGGUGAAGGAAUCGAUUUUGAAGUGUCUCACCUGCAAUAAAUUAGGGAUGACAAAAUAGAUGGAUUGGACAAGUUUGAUUUGAAUUAGAGUAUACACACCAAAACAAUUCUUUAAUCUAUUUAAAUCCGCUAAAACCCGAACAAUAAAAUUAUGUCCAUCCUAAUCAAACAAAAAAUCCAAUCAAUCCAUUAACAAUUUUUAAUAGAUGACAAUCCAAUCAAUUCAUAAAAGUUAUAUUAAAAAAUAAUAAAAUUAUUAUUUAAUUAUUUUAUAUAACUUUUUAAUAAAUAAAUGUUGUUUUUAAUAAAAAGUUAAUACUUUUAGUUCUUUUUUUUGAACAAGUAUACUUUUAGUUCCUUUAAUAUGUGCAAUAUUAUACAUAUUAUACAAAUCUUAUGGUUUUUAUGGCUGACGUUAGACCAGACAAUUUUUUUUAAGGUUGUGAAAUUAUAUAUAUAUAUAUAUAUAAGACCGGAGAGAGAGUGGUAUUUACUCAAUUAAUGAUAUGCUUAAGUUUAGAGGAAACAAAUUAGGGUUAAAUAUGCUAGUCGUCCUUAUAGAUAUUUUGAAUUUUGUUUUAGUCCCUAUAAAAUAAAAUCACAUUUUUUAAUUUAUGUGACGUUUUUCUUUAACAAUUUGAAGGACCAAAAUUGCCGACAAAAAAUACUACAGGGACUAAAAAUACUAAUGAAUAAUUUUAUAAGGGCUAAAAAUGUUGACAAAAAAUUUUACAAUGACUAAAAAAUAUGAUUUUAUUUUAUAUAAAUAAAUGUCAAAAACAUAUUUAAUUCAAAAAAUUAUAUGCUUAGUCCCGAUUUAAUAAUACUACAGUUAUGAGAGAGAACUAUGAAUUUUAAGUUGCAAAUUAAUACACCACUACUUGAGUACUACUCGCACCCUAUUAUAAGAAAAAAAAUCUCAUAUUCUUUGUCUCAAAAUAUAAGCAAAAAAAAUCAACUUUUAUGCUAUUAUUAUGUUUUUUCAAACAAAUCAUCUUUUUCAAUGUAAAAUUAAAUACAAAUUGCAUUCAAUUUGUUCUCUUUUUUAUUUUCUCCAUAAUUUUUAAUCAAUGAAAAUUAUUAUUACAUCUUUCCAUAAAACUUAUUUCAAGGAGAGCACAAAAAAUUAUACCUCAAAUAAUUAAGUGUUAGUUUUCUUAAUAAGUGUGAAUUAGUGUUUUUUGCUUAUAAAUUAGGACGGAGGUCUAUCCAUUAAGCACCACUUGUUCAAUCUAUUACUAGGCUGCAUUGAUUCAUUCAACUACUCUAUAUGAAUCACUUCAAUUAACAAAUUGAUAGUUGACAAUUGAGACUAUGUUUGGAAGUUCAUGAAGAGAGUUGAUUGAGGUAUUUUGAAGAGAGAGAAAAAUUGAAGAGAAAAGGUAAAAUAAAAAAAAAAGGUUUAUUUGAUUCAUUGGUCCUCUAAAUAAUUUCAAAUUUUUAUUUUGGUCCUGUAAUUAACAAAACACACGUCUUAGUCCCUCACUUUUUCCUCUGUUUAAAUAAUUAAAACUUUUGUUAGUAAGAGCCCAUGUGGCAAAAAACCCAGAAAAUAGGCUUCUUCCCUUGUGUUCUUCAUCAUCUUCAUAGGACUCAUGAAAAAAAGAAAGAAAAAAAACCAGGAAAAAAAAUCAUCAAACAAAACACUAUUAAUUUUAUUCUUCAGCUUCAACAAACGUUCACCAAUCUCUUUUUCAAUACCAUCAAUUUCAUGAUCCCCAUUCUCUUCCUCUUCCCCUUUUCUUUGCUUCUCCAAUAACUGAGUGGGUUUAAUCCAAAAAUCAAGGAACACGUUGCCCAUGGUUAAUUUAUCACGUUAGAUAGGUGAUGGAUGAUAAGAUUACCCAUAUGAGAAAAAACGAGAGCUUUGUAGUGAGUUUGUAGUGAAUACUUGGGUUUAAUCCCAAAAUACAAACAAUGAUUCACGUUCUUUCAGAUCUGAAUCGAAACACAAUUUGUAUAAUUGGAUUUUGAGAAUUCUAAUUCGGAUUUUAAAGGUCUCAGAUUCUGAAAAUGCAAAAUAGCAACAUGCCAAGCUUUUCCUCCACAUCCCAAUCUCAAAUCAGCCAUUACCCCCGUUCACAAAAAACACAAAGGUCGCGGUUUCCAUAUGAUUAUCAUUUUUAUUUAUUGUGUGGUGGUGUAAUUUUCUGGCUUUGUUUAUGUUCUAUCCAUAAUAUUAAGCUGUUUAACAAAAAAUGAUUUUAAUCAUAUGUUGUUGGAAUUUUUUUUGUUCUUUCAGAUCUAGAAUCAUAUGCUGCUGGAAAAAAUUAAGGUUUGAAAAUAAUUUAUGAUAGUGAUGUGAGGAAUCAAUAGAGAUCGAUGGCAAUAAUGUUGUUGCUGUUGAUAGUGGUUGAUGUUUUUGGGCAAAUGAUGAUGGUGUUGAUGAAAAUUAUGUUGAAGACAAUGAAUAAGAGUGAGGAAGAAGACGAAGAAAGAGAUAAUUAAUUAGAUGUUAAUGGUUCAUCGUAAGAUAAAAUAGACCUGCGUAAUUCAAUGGUCAUCCUUUCAAAAAAAGAUCAAACGGUUUUAAAAUAAAAAAUUUAAUAAGGUCUAUGGUGGAUCACUCUUAAGGUUGGUCCACCAUAGACAUUUAGGGUUAAACUUAACAGCCAGGGGAUUUAUUUGGCAAACGAAGGAAAAAGUGAGGACCAAAAUGUACGUUUUAUUAAUUGUGGGACCAAAAUAAAAAUUUGAAAUUAUUUAAGAGACCAUUAAAUCAAAUAAGUCAAUAAAAAAUGAUAAUCUCCAAUUUAAAUUGAAGGUUUAUUUCCUGCUAUAAUUAAAUCUCUCUCUUUAUUUGAGAAUUUAAAAAAUUAUCGUGGAAGAAGAUUUUGGAGGACUUAAAUAAAUUCAUUAAAUCCUUUUAUGUUUUCAUAAUAAUAUUCUAAAAAAGAAAAUGCUACUUUUCCCAAAAAUAUAAUUCAGAUGAACACACGACAAAUGUAACAGUGUAGCGUAUAACAUCUCUCCAUUUUCAUCUACCCAUGUAUACCAUUUUGUCCAAAAGAUCCAACGGUUGCCAUUAAUUCGCAGUACCUUCGUGAUGCAUUUGUUCGCUACGAAUAGCAUAGCUCUUCUAAAAAUUAAAAUAAAGAUUUUCAUCUCUUGUCCUCUCCUCUCCCCCCAAAAUUAAGCUUUCAUCUUUACUUCGGACUUCCCAUGAAAACGUCAGAAUCUGAGAUAAAUAUCAUAUUCAGCCUGUUGAAAAGAUACUCCUUCCGGUUUCAAAUAUAAUAAAAGAUUCAUUUUUUAGGUUCGUUGAAUAAUUAAUGUAUCUGAUCUACAUUGUAAAGCAGAUACAUUAAUUAUUCAAUGAUCCUAAAAAAAGAAUAUUUUCUUAUAUUUGAGAUCGGAGGGAGUACUUCCUAGUGACCCACUUGGACGUGGUGCACUAGUCAAUUAUCCUCACCUUAGCCCAACCUCAAAUUGCUUGCACUCAGGGGAGAGAAUAGUUCUUCUGACCAACAGAUAGAGACUUAUGGCUUAGUGUGACACAAUUUACCCUAAAAGUAACUAACUUAAAAAAGACAAAAUUACGAGACAAUUUGGUCCAAAUAAUAACUUUUAGAAUAGAUUAAGAAGUCGUUCAUGUAGGAAUAACUCAAUUGAUAAAAAUAUUGCAUGUAAUGUGCAAUACUCGAAGUUUAAACUUCGAAUUCUUCAUUUAUUUAUCUUAUAGAAUGAAUUUCCAACUAUUAAACUACUUGACAAUUUUUUUUAAUUAAAAUCACAUAAACUCUAAAUACUAUAAGUCACUUGAAUCAUAUGCCUUGAUGAUAAUAUGUUAUGUGAUUAUGUGUUUAAGAAGUCACUUAAAUAAGCAUUUUGUCCUUAUAAAUUUCUCCAAAUAAUGAUCCUUCAAAUAUUUUCAGUCAACAUUUUUUUAUUUAUGUUUUUAAAUAAACUGAUGUGUAUCUUUUAUAUUUUUUCACUCAUGCUUAAUGCAUUAUAAAAUUUUCUCUUGCAAAAGUUUAUAAUUUUUUGACAAUGGGUGAAUUAAUAUGCAUUUUUAUGUUUUGUUUUGCACUUAAAAAUUCAUAUUUAAGUUAUCUUUUCUUAAAAAAUUAUAAAUUUAUUUGGGAGAAUGGUUAUAAUAUUUUAAACAUGGUUGUAAAAACUCAUUCAAAAAUAUAAAUGAUACAAAUGAGCUAACUUAAAAACAGAGACAUAAAAUGUUGGUUGAAAAUAUUUAAAAGACCAUUGUUUAAAGAAUUUAAAAAAAAAUAAAAAUUGAUAUGUUUAUAGAGGAGAUUAAAAACUUAUCUGUUUUGGUGAGCUUAACUCGUUUAUUUACCACAUAAAUGAUAUGUAGAACCACAAGGGAAACAAAUGAAUGUCAACAUUCGAAAUACUAUAAACACAUAAUCACAUACUGUGUACUUCCGUCCCUAAUAAUAAGAUUCUUUUGAGAAAAAAAUUGUCCCUUAUAAGAUCAUUUGAUAUUUCCAAGUACAUUAAUUAUUUCUUUACCAACAUAUCUUUAUUUAUUUUGCAUCUUUUUCUUCAAUCAACAAUAAAUAUUAUGUUGAAAACAUAAAUUAAUUUUCUUUCUUAAGGAUAAAAUUAUAAAAACAAUAAUAAUUACAUACAAAUUUAAUACUACAACCAACUUUCUUAAUCUCCGAAAUUUUUGCAAAAGGUUCAUAUAUCAUCAAGGCAUGCCAAUGUUAUAUGCACGAUUAUCAUCAGCUACUUCACGAUAUGAUUUUAGCUAACUCCAGAUUGAUACGGGUAGAGAAGUCACCUUCAAUCUCAUGAAUUGGAUCUUGAAGUGAUUAAGUAUUCAACAAAAAUAUUCUAAUAGUGCAUCAUAUUAACUUAAGAUAUUUAUAUCCUACCAAUGUCGCCCACAAAACUUUCAUGGCCUUCUACUUAGAUUUUAUCAAGUCAUAACCUUGAAAUCUAUUUUCAUUGGAAAUAACAACGCUCUUUUUUUAUUAUAAAGAGAGAUAAUGCUCUUCUAGAAGUCCUAGCUCAACUGGUAAAUGCCGAAAUUGUAAGGCUGGACGUUGUGACCUGGGUUCGAACCCGGAACCUCACAGUUGUGUGUGAAUUUAUUUUCAGUGGAUUACCACUUCAUCUAAGAUCAAAAAAAAAAGAGGGAUAAUGCCCAGCCUCUGAUGUAUUCUAUUUUUGAGAGGGUUAUUACAAAGAGGGCUAAGUCAAUAUUUAAUAUCUUAAUCGGUUAUCUAUUUCAUCUAAUCGAAUUAUAUAUAUAGGCUUAAAAUUAAGGAGUUUUUUUUGUUGAAAAACUCACAAAAGGCUUAAAAUUAAGAAGUUAUUUGUUCAUAAUUAAAUGAUAAAUGAAAUGCCUAACUUUGAAAUUUACUUCUUUCCAAUGUCCCCUGAAAUAUGUGUGUGAGAGAAUAAAAUCCAAAAUAGCAAGUUAUAUAUAGUAAAUGAUAAAUAAGUACUAAGACCCAAGAAUAUAGAUUCAUCCAAGUAUACAUGUAGCACUGCUUGUUUUAUUUAUAGUAUUAUUAGGCAGUGUAUAACUUUUUCUUGAAGGAGGCAGUAAUAUAAUUUAUUAUCAUCCCAAAGAGGGAUUCAUUCGCGUUAAUUAACAAUUAACAAAGACAUAAUCAACUAUAAGGUGACCCUUCUGGUAACCCUGUCCAUUGGUAUCAAUUCGUUUGAAGACAUUCACAUCUAAGUCAAGUCCACCAUUGGCGCACUGAUCCACUAUUCUCACUGUUUCCUGAGCUCCAGUUGCAGUAUUUUUCACCUGCAUCAUCACCACUAAUAUUAUUAAUUCAACUAUCAAAAGUAAACAAAAAAAUCUCCUUGAAUUAAGUCCAUUUAGAAGUCAACAAAAAGUCACCCAGAAAACUUUGAAUCUUUGUUGGCUAGUUUGAUUUUGAAUCGCACUAGAGAUUUUUUUUAAGCAAAAAAAUUACUUAUUCAAGAGUAUAAGAUAUUUCAAUCCAUUAUAUUAAAACAUUAAAUCAAAAUCAUCCACAUAGAUUAAAGAGUAAAGACAGCCCAAUAUGGAUUACAGGCUAGAGCACACUAAUAUUAGAAAACUCAAUUAUGUAUCUUUAAUAUAUUUGCUACUACACAUGGUCGCAAUAAAUCAACUCUUCAUUGGUAAUUUAACUACUCCCUUCGUUCCAUUAUAAGCGAGUCUUUUGUUCAUUUUAUAAAUAUUAAAAAAAAUGUAUAAGUGAAAGAACGAGAAAAAUAAUUUUGAGUGUCUUAUCAAAUAUUAAUAAGUGCAUUUCUUAUUAUCAUAAAUGCAAUAUAAAGUAUAUUGAAUUGAGAAUGAUGAAAUUUUUAUUUUUUUUGAACAAGUCAAAAUGUGAUAUAUUAAACACCACGAAAAGCCACCUCCUCAGCACAAAGUGUGUCGAAAAGAAGCAGAAAGUUCAAAUACACAACAAUUAACCAACAUCCAUUAAAGAAUAGGGUACUAUAAAAAAGAAACAAAACAUUACAAUUAACCAACACCCAAAUGAUCAAAAGGGGGCUGCCACCAAUUGGCAAACUCAACUGAAACAUUUAAAGUCUUAUGCUUCAGCCACCACAAAGACAAAUAUUUAACCAUAUCAAACAACUGAGACGUCGAUUUUUCCUUAUAAUUAAAAAACCUGUCAUUUCACUCUUGUCAGAUAACUCACACAGGAAAACUAAAUUAAGUUCAAAAGAGACCGUCUCGCUUUCGCACCCCCUAUCAAUAUAGUAUAAUGAUCGAAAUGGUCCGUAAUGGAGCAAAGGUCUAUCGAGAAAUUAAUUAAUAUUGUAUUAAGAAGUGAAAUUUAUCAUUUUUUUAAUUUUUUUUUUUUAAAUGACUCACUUAUUAUAGAACGGAAAAAAUAUUUAAUUUAAUUAAAAAUGAGUUGAAUAUAAAGAUCUUGUCCCCAGAUAAAACAUCUCAUAAAAAUGCGUUUAAGAACUCUAUGAAAUGUGUUUAAGUCAACUCUUUUUUAACGAUCUUACAUAUACUUAUGUCUGUCUGCACAUAAACUUAAAUAAAUCUAUGAAAUAAGCUCGUAUAUUUUGAUAAAUAUUUCUGAAAUGAGUAAGUACGACACAUACCCUCAAACACUUGCCGCAAGAGUCUCUACCACGAGGGCCCUGGGGUCCACAAAAGGCAGUCCAACCAUACUUUUUACGCCAUUCCAAGGGCUGGUUUGCAUCCCAGGUAGCACAGUAUACACUGGCUCUGUUGUAAUCCCAAUUAAUAUUCUGAGGGUUGUAAAGGUGGUACGUUGACCUUACACCGUUUGCACUCUGACCACUCACUAACAUCAUUCCCACAAGGAAACAAAAUACCAACAAGCUCAACUUUCUCUGUGUGCUCUCCAUUUUCUCUUUUGUGCGUGUUUCAUAGUAGAAGCUUGGUGUUCAAAUUUAUAGACUUUGAGAAAGAUAAGUGACGUCACACGUACGACGUUAUUCUACGUACGUAAACUUAAAGUCUAUCAAGUAAUAAUGUGUUUCUUUUCUUGACUGAGUCAUAUGCCUGUAUUUAAUUUAUCUUUGUCUAGUUUUUCCAUAUUUUUCAAGAACAUUUUAUAUAGUCGUUGUUUGAUUUAUUUUCACAAUCAAUCUAUAUAAAUCGAGAUAAAUGUUCAGAGAAUCCAUGCAUACAAUUGUAAAUAAAGACUAGAAGAAGAUGUGUUUUGUACCAAAAAAAAAAAAGAAGAUGUGUUUAAAUAACAACUAUUUUUGAGAAUUAUUACAGUGUUUUUUUUUUUUUUUUUUGAGGAAAGAAUUAUUACAGUGUUAAUUCGACAUGUAUAGAUACAUCUAUCUACUAUAGACUUGAGAAAAUAAAGGGCUAGCGAGAAAAUAAAGGAAUAGCACAAUGACAAAAACAUCAUUUCCCCCUCUAAUUUCUUUUCUUGACUUGACAUGUGUUCAUUUUUAUUUUUAUUUUAAGUAGUUUAAUGCUUAUAAAUUCAAUUUUUAAGGUGAAUAAGAGAGUUGUCUAGGGUUCGAUCUCCGACCCUUGUAUAUAUUAUGAAAUAUUUUAUCAAUUGAACUAAGCUUACAAACAGUGGCGGAACCAAAAAAUUUAUAGAGCAUAGGCGAAAAAUUUAUCGUAAAUUCACAUGUGACAUAAUAUAUAAUAAUAGUCAUAAAUCAAAAUAAAAGAGGAUCGUCAUUUUUCUAUAAUAGUACAGUUUGAAAUACGAGAGAUGAAAUAUAAUCUAUCUAUAGCGUGCAAAAUAAAAUUAGGAGGUAAAUGUCCUUUCCGAGACCUCUUUUCGGUGAAUGUUCGAAUAACAUCAACAUCAUCAAGUGACUUGAAUAUCUCCCGCUCGGUGUAACAUAUCAUCAAGUCAUUUUACCCAGGUCCGAUGGGCACCCGCAAUAGAUAGGGUAAAACCCCGCUUUCAUGGAUAUGGGCAUGGGUCCGGGUAACUACCCGCAAACUUAAAAGGGUACGGGCAUGGGUAUGGGCACUAUACUACCCAGCCCUGCAACUCGCAUUAUGUUUUUAUAUAAUAUAAUAAUUAAUUUACCUAACUAUUUAAGCUUAAACCUAAACCUAAAAAUUGCUUAUUACAGUAACCUAAACCUAGUCUCUUGUUGCGUUGAAUCUCUGCCGCCUGCCUGCCUUUCGUUGCCUUUUGUUAUCCAUCUCUUAUGCUUCCAGGUAACUAUUUCUCGAAUCUCAUAUUUAUAAAGGGAAGUCAAUUGGACACAGGCCUAAUGGGUACCCGCAAAAUACUACCAUUCAUACUUUUUUUUAUUUGGUUAAAUACUACCAUUCAUACUAUUUUAUGAGUUGAUUUGAAAUUUUCUGGAUCAUAGUUGUAUUUCAGUUGUGGUGCUUUUUUAUUGUCUUUUCAGAGUUAAACUGCGGGUAAUGGGUGCGGGUAUGGGCACUUAGGUGCCCACAGGGUAUGGGGAAUGACACUAAAGUUGUUGUCCACGAGGGUACGAAUAUUUUUUACAAACGCAGGUAUAGGGAUGGGUACUAUAAUUCCCUACCCAUUGAAUACCCAUUGCCAUCCCUAAUGUAAGCUAUUAGUAAAUCUUAAGAAAUUUCAUCCAAAGUAAUAACUAUAUAAAAUUUAAAAAAAUAUUAGAAUCAUCACAUUUAUUUUAUGAAGCAAAUAAUGCAAAUGUAUUGUUAAUAACUUUUCCCAAAACUUUAGGUUUGUUUGGAUGCACAAAGAAAGUGAAAGGAAAGAAUGAGAAAGAAAAAAUUGUCUAAGGAAAGAAAGAUCGUAGAAAGUAAGGGAUUGUUUUGGUUGUUUGGUACAAGAGAAUGUGGAAUAGAAAGUUGGAGAAAAGAAAGACCAAAAUUUAGUAAUUGACAUUAAUACCUUUAAACAAAAAUAAUGUUAGUAUUUAUAAACUAAUUGUUUAUAGUUUUUGUGGAAAAAUAAAUGCGGCAUAAAACAACCACAUGUACUGACAAAACGUUAGGCAGUAAAUUAUUUCCAAAAAAAAAAAAAGAAGCUAGCGUUGAAUUGAAAUAAAAAAUGAAAAAAGACUUGACCAAAAACAAAUAAAAAAGACAACAACUGAAAUAAUCAAAGAGUUAAAUAUGUUUUUGGUCCCUAUAAAUAUACCAACUUUUUGUUUUAGUCCCUCUAAAAUUUUCCUUCGACUUUUAGUCCCUAAAAAAUUUUCCAUCUUCACUUUUGGUCCCUCUUUUAAAGUAAACUCAUAUGUAGAAUUCAUAUUUUUGAAUCAAAUUUUUAAUAAAAAUUCAUAAUAUUAUAAUAAUCUCUCCCAAAAAAUAUUAGAAUUUUUAAAAAAAACAUAAAUUUAAUAUGAAUUUUUAUAUUAUUUAUGGUUAAAAAUUCAUAUAUAAUUUAUGUUUACUUAAAAAAUUCUAAUUUUUUUUGGGAAAUGUUUUUACAAUAUUCUACACAUUUCUGUACAAUUUCAUUAAAAAAUACUAAAAUUUACUUUAAAAUAGGGACCAAAAGUAGUGAUUCAAAAUUUUAUAGGACUAAAAGUUGAAGGAAAAUUUUAGAGAGACUAAAUCGAAAAGUUGGUAUAUUUAUAGGGACCAAAAAUAUAUUUAACCCAUAAUAAAAUGAGUAAAGAAUAAAAAUAGGGGCAUUCUUGAUAUUUUGAACAAAACACCAGUAUUCUUCAAGCAUUCCGUUCAAUUGUGGGUGGAAAAGUUUUCAACGUGGGUUCCACAAAAAUUCUUUCUUUCCUUACCUUUUUAGGGAGUUCCAAACAACAGAAAGAUUUUCUUUCCCUAACCUUUCUUUCCUCAUCACUUUCUUUCCCUUGAAACAAACAUACCAUUAGUGCCCUUCAAUUUGUCAAAACAAAAAAAAAAAACUUUUCCCAAAACAAUAUACUUGUUUGUUUCACUUAUCCAUAAAUCGUAAUUAAUAUUUUUAGUAAUAAAUACAUUAUUUUGGUCUUCAUCAGUUCCAACAAAAAGUAUUCAUUAAUUAUCAUCAACGCACAUCACACUCCACUCUUCAUGUAUCCCGUUUUAGAUUAACUCAUUUUUCUCCUUGAAUUUUUCAUUCAACCAGAAAUUCCCUCUUCAGUAUCUUUCUUAAGUCUUUUUAAAAUUCGCAAGUGCAAAAAGCGGAAACUUGUGUUUUCUUUUUCUGGAAUCUAAGCGUGCGUUUCUUUUCCUGGGAUGUUUCCCCAAUGAUAUUUUUUGUUAGUGUGUUAAUGGGCUAUUGGGUUCGACCUAAUGUACAAAAAUUAUCGAUCGAGCCCGGACGAUCGUGCCGGGGUUGCUUGUCAAUUUCGUCUUCUUUUUUAUAUCACUUUAUUGUUUUCAUUAAAAAAACAUUUUGGCAAAUAUAAUUUGUACACAAAAUAAUUGUUGGCCAUUAAUUAAUUAAUUUAAUUUAAUUUUUUUAAUUUUUUUUUUGUCAAGUAGCAUAAUAGCAAGAAAUUCACAUCUUAAUGUGAAUCAGUUUUGAUAUUCGGGGUUCGAACCUCAGCCUCUGCAUAUAUUAUGCAAUGUUCCUACUAACUGAGUUAAGUUCAUGUGGACUAAAGAAAAAUGAAAAUAAUUAUAUAAAAAAGCAAAUUUUAAUUUGUUAUAAAAAAACAUGCAUGCACAUGUCAAUUGAAUGUCGUUAGCGAAUUACUACCCAUAGAGUGGGAAUUUUGUCAUCUAUAGAAGUUCUAUCCGGCUUGAGAAAUUAUUCUCUAUAGUUGUGCCUUCGUGAUUCGGGAGGACAGUUUGUAGCAGCGCAAACGAUGCCGCGACAAUCACAUACGUUGGUUUUAGAGGGAGAGGCGAUAGCUAUCCGUUUUGCCCAUGCUAAGGGGUGGGAUAUAGUGAUUUUUGAAUAAGAUUCUAGUAAUUUGGUUAAUGCCCUUUCAACGCAACGACAUGAAGCUUCUGAAUUUUAUGCAAUAAUUUCUGCUAUUAAGAACCAGUUAUCGGUGAAAUUUAUUAGACGAUAAGCGAACAUGGCAACUCAUACUUUAGUUAGGACAAUUGUUUUUUUUUGGGCUAGUCACCAAAUUUUUAAAUAUUCUCCUACUUGUAUUGAACCUUUUCUUAUUAAUGAUACGAGUUAACCGAGCUUCUGAAGAAAAAAAAAAUGAUAUGCCUAGCUUCGAAUCUUCUUCUUUCCGAUAUGUGAGAGAGGAUAAAAUCCAAAAUAGCAAGUUAUAUAGUAAAUGAAUAAGAACAAGACACACGAGAAUAUAUAUUCAUCCAAGUUACGUGUAGCACCGCUUGUUUUAUUUAUGGUAUUAUUAGACAGUAGUUUAACUUAUUAUCAUCACAAAGAGUGAUUAAUUCGCAUUAUUUAACAGUUAACAAAGACAUAGUUAACCGUAAGGUGACCCUGCUGGUAACCUUGUCCAUUGGUAUCAAUUUGAUUGAAGACAUUCACAUCCAAGUCUAACCCACCAUUGGCACAUUGGUCCACUAUUCUUACUGUUGCCUGAGCUCCAGUUGCAGUAUUUGUCACCUGCAUCAUUAGUCAUCACCACUAAAUUAAUUCAACUAUCAAGAGUAAAAAUAAUAAUAUCCUUGACUAACUAAUUGAUCAUAAUUAAGUCCAUUUACAAGUCCACAAAAAGCCACACAGAAAAACUUAGUGUUUGAAUCUUUGUUGGCUAGUACUCCAUUGUUUUUGUAUCGCACUAGAGAUUUUUUAAGCAAAAAUAUUAUUAUUCAAGAGUAAAAGGUAAUUCAAUCCAUUAUAUUAAAACAUUACAUCAAAAUCAUACACAUAGACUGUAGUGUAAAGACAGCCCAAUAUAUGGAGUAGAAGGCAGUGCAAUAAUAUUAGAAAACUCAAUUGUAUAGCUUUAAUAUUUUUGCUACCACAUCUUCACAAUAAAGAAACUCUUCCUUGCUAAUUUAAUUAUUUAAUUUAACUAAAACUGAGAUGAAUAUAAAGAUCUUGUUUUGGACAAAACAUCUCGCAAACAUGUCAUAAGUUGUUUCGUAUAUACUCCCUAAAAUAUAAAUUAUUUUCAUAACUAUCGUAGCGUAGAGUUGGUAGAAACAAGUCGAAAACGGUUCAUGGCACUAAUUAUAAAUGUGUCUAGGUCAACUCUCUUUAACGAUUUCAUAUGUACUUAUGUCAGCAAAUAAACUCAAAUAAAUUAACGAAAUAAACUCGUAUAUUUCGAUAAUUUUUUCUAAAAUGAGUAAAGUGGUCAUACCCUCAAGCACUUGCCGCAAGAGUCUCUGCCAUGAGGGCCCUGGGGUCCACAAAAGGCAGUCCAGCCAUACUUUUGACGCCAUGACAAGGGCUGGUUGGCAUCCCAUGUAGCACAGUAAACACUGGCAGUGUUGUAGUUCCAGUUAAUAUUCUGAGGGUUGUAAAGGUGGUAUGUUGCCCUAACGUUGUUUGCACUCUGACCAUUCACUAACAUCGUUCCCACAAGGAAACACAAAACCAACAAGCUCAAAGUUCUCUGUGUGCUCACCAUUUUCUC